GGAAGGGCUGUAGCCUAGUGGCAGAGCAUCUCCCUUGCAUGUGGACGGUCAUGGGUUCAAUCCCUGACUUUUCCA